UCCAAGGGCGAAAUUCUUGCGGUAAAUAGUGUAUGGUGACCGAACACAUGAUGCUCGAGUGUUACGAUCAUCGAGAAUAUUUGCUCAUUUAGAACAGAGACACAGAGAAGGUGAAAUAGAUAGCUGGCUUCUAGAUGAUUCUGCAUACCCACUUUUACCUUUUUUGCUGACACCAAAAUUAAAUCAAGAAGAAGGAAUUCCGGGUACAAAGUACACAGAACAUCAUGUUCAGACUCGUGUGGCUGUAGAACGAUGUUUCGGCAUUUUAAAAAGUCGCUGGCAUUGCUUACGGAAAAAACGAGCUUUACAUUAUCGUCUACAAUUUGCUGCUCUAAUUAUCAAUGCUUGUUGCGUUCUGCAUAACAUGGCAAUCAGAUGGGGAAUUGCUUGUAAUGAAAUACAUCAGGAUGAACUAGGCGUUGCACCACCGAUAGCAUAUGAUGGUAUUGAUGAGGAACGUGGGGAACAAACCCGAAAUCGAGUAAUUUGAUGGUAUUUUACU